rnacentral:lncRNA from 1 species
GAGUGUAUGUGUAAGAGAGAGAGAGAAAGAGAGGGAGUGAGAGAACGCGGAGUUUUGUUCACUUUCAUCCCCCGGUUGGCAGCAGGACCGUGCGCCUCUCUCUCUCUGUCUCCCCGCUCUCUGUGAGUCUUUCGCCGCAUGGAUUUUUGAUCUCGCCCGCUGCUCUCCUGGAGGGUCUCUCUCCGGCUCGGUUCACAUGGGACUUGUUGUUCCUGUUUUUUUCUGGAACAAAAGCCGCUCUCCGUGCCCCAUGUUCGGCUCCAGGGCUCCGUAGCUGAGGGCUCUUCGCCAUGGCCGAGCCGGGAGCAGUUUCCGACGCUUUGGCGGCUCCGCUGCUCGAGUUUAGCGCCGAGGCUGCGUCUCCCGGCCGGGAUGCGGCUCGGCGGGGCUUCCCGGGCCACGGCGCCGAGGGGCUCUUCUCCAACGGCGGCUGCAGGGAGCUCAGCAGCCCUGCGGUGGGCAGCCGGGGUCGAGACGCGUCCGCCGAAAGGAACCAGCCUAGCGGGAACCCACCCUGCGGGAUUAUGAAGGUGCUCUUUAAUGAGGAGAAAUAGCGUCAUCUACUCACCCAGAAAGAGCAAGGGCAACUGUGCUCUCUCAGGGCUCCGGCAGCUGAUGGCAAGCUGCAUGACCGGGAUUUGAACCAGCGAUCUCCCGAUCAUAGUGGCAGCGCUUUAGACUGCUGGACUACUUGAGAGAGGCCAAAUCCAACAUCCUUGAAAUGAAGACAAAUGAAAUGAACAAUGCUCACAGACCUAUCAGUCACGUUUGAGGGGGUGGGCAUUACAUUUUCAGAGCACUUAGUCAGACACACCAAAAAAUCGAUGUACACCAGAGUUGAAGCUUCAACAACUGCCAAAGAUUUUCACACCCAUUUGUCAGACAGAAAGAGAGCUGAGGCUGUCGCCGCUUUGUUAGAAAAAAAUGAAUAAUUUAAGAGAUUGAUGUGCUGAUGCUCGUCCAAGCUUCUGGCCAGCAGUGAAAGGCUCGGUCCGAUACAUUUCUGAUCAGAUCAGGGCGCUCCGGAGAUGGGUCAUGAUUGCUGCAUGGCACUGUGACAGAAAGCCAGUCAUUACUGACAAUGAGACAGCAGGAGAAAAAGAGAGAGAGAGAGAGAGAGAGAGAGAGAGAAUGAACAAACACACAAACAUGAAAUAAACAGGGCGUCUGAAGAGGUUGACCA